UGGUCGAUAACCCCCUCUGCCUCUAAUCUUAAUCAGUUGCAUCCUCAACUGGUGGAAGUAUCCAUGCACUCAAAGUUUGUAAAGUAAAACACUCAACUUUGUACCAGUAGGCAUCACUCAAUGCAAUUGGUGCGUUUGUUUGCAGGAAAACAUUUUCCGGAAAAUAUUUUCCUAAUUUUACAGUGUUUGGAAGCCUGAAAACAUUUUACACUUGUAAAAUGUUUUCCAAGACACGGGUAAAAUGGCCUCAGUUUAGGGAAAAUGUCUUACUAAUUUCAUUUCCGUAAGACAUUUUUCGGAAAAUCCCUCCCUCCUUCCGUCCUUCUCCUUCUUCAAUCUGUCUUCCCCUCACGAAUUUGCAGGAUCUAAACGUCCCAAAGUUGGCCCAUCGUCGAUAUUGGAGCUGCUGUUCAGUACUUGGGUUACACACCUGGCCUCUUUAUUGUAGGACUGUUCAACAUUUUGGUAUUUUGGAUAAUAGGAACACUAUAGUUGGAGGCACACAAGAAGUAUGGCAACAGGGAGUUUUGCCAAAACAUCUGCUAACAUAGACUUGGAUGAUGGUAAUCAAGAUUCAGUGCUUGUAGACUGCGACAAUGAAGAGGUUGAAGAGGUAAUAACAAAUGUAUCUUCAUCUGGCACAUCCAAACGUAAAAGAAAAAAUGUUCAAGAAAGCGUCGCUGAUGAACAAAUUAAAUUUUUGGGUGAACAACUUGGCAAAAUUGCUAAUGCUUUGGAACAAUUUACUGCGGAUAAGACACCACAGCUUUACGAACAAGUGAUGUCGAUGGAGGAAGAAGGAUUUGGUGAUGACUUCUUGUGUUCUGUGUUUGAUUAUCUAGUGAGUCAUGAAUCCGAGGCUAAAGUUUUUUUAGUUAAAAGUAAGAAGCAUAAAAAAAUUUGGCUUCAAAAAUUUUCUCAAGGUUGAAGAUAUUGAUACUUUUAUGUGGUGUAAUAUUAGUUAUGCACUUGAACAAUGUUGUUAUUAUGUGGUGUACUACUAAUUAUGCAUUUGGAUAAUAUUAUUAAUUUCUAAUAUUAA